UAAAUGAAAAAAAAAAAAAAAAAAAACAAGCAAUUAAACCUCGAUAUAUGACAACAUGCUGAGCCCUGUUGGAUGACCACUGAUGGAUGACUCUGGUGGAUGACCCUGGUGGAUGACCCUGGUGGAUGAUCCUAAUGACAGCUGCAGGCAUCUGGAAAAGACGAACGCAAAAUUAUUAAUAUUUUAAAAUAUAAUAUACUUAUAAGAUAUCGAACUAUACAUAAAAUAUUCGCUAAUUACUAAUUUCUUAUCUUACCUAAUUACCUCUCAUCAAUUAAUAUCAUUUUUUCUAGUUAUAUCUUUAAUAUUAAUUCACUUCAGAUAUCGUACUACUCUGAAGAGCUAAGAUACUUACUUGCUUUUCGCAACUAAAAUCAUAAAACUUGAUUACAACUAUAAGUAAAACUAAACAAUUUUUUCUACAUAUCUUAAAUUCUAAGCUACGGCUAUUUACUACCUUUAGUACCUUUAGUAAUUACUUUAAACAUAAGACACUAUUCAGCUCAGAAAAUGCAAAAACUUUGCCCUGAUACUUCACGAAAAUUCAAUUUACUCAUUUUGAUCAAUAUUACAAAUUCUUAACCUGUAAAUAUUUGCUAAUAACAAAUUUAUUAUCUUAUCUAGUAACCUCUCACUAAUUGAUAUCAGUGUAUCUAAUUAAUAUAUUAAUAAUAGUAACUCUUAUCAUUUAUUCUACUCCUAUGAAAACGCUAAGAUAAUCCCUUGUUUUUUGCAAUUAAAUCAUAAAACUUGAUUGUUCAAUUAUUGUUUAAACUAAAUAAUUUUCUAUGUUACUGAAAGAAUAAGCAAUGGACAUUUACUACCAUAUCCCUUAGUUUUAUAUUAAGCAUGUGAUACCAUGCAACUCAGAAAAUGCAAAGACUUUGUCCUGCUUUUUCACGCUAAUUCAAAUCAUUAACUUUGUUCAAUAUUUGCUAAUAUAAAUCCUGUUAUUACCUUUUAAAUCCUACAUUUACUAAAAUAUUAUUUUCGGCAAAUUUCUUCCUUUAUACUUAGUUUGUAAGCUAGUAUGUAAGGUGCUAUGUUAAAUUUCUAAAAAGAGCCAUCGUAAGGCACUGAGAAAUAAAGAGUCACCUCGCUUCUAUCCCCUCCUCUUAUAGAUGCAGAGCAGCUGUUAAGAACGAGGAGAUACAAACAAGGUGCAAUUGUGUAUGGCAAUAGACUAUACAAAGUUGAAAACAAGUACUAGACAGUGCCAUCUUCAAGCGCUAUAUGAAAGAUACAACUCAUUAAAAUUUUACUGCUGAAUUAAAGACACAAAAUAGACAAAUUAAUACUUACAAUCAACAAGCUGCUUGCCGCAAAACCUAAACUAAAACAAAAACAAAACAAAAAUAUAAAUAAAUAAAUAAAAAUAAAAAAAAAAAAAAAAAAAAAAAAUAAAUAAAAAAAUAACUAGAUUGGGCAACAGUAAUAAUUGAACAAAACUGGGAAGCUAUGAAAUUAUACUCUAAUAAGGAAAAUAAACAAAUGCUCUGCAACUUGCCCGCACACCUACAACUAUCUAGUGAAAUAAUAUACCGCAGCAAAUAACAUAAUUCGCUAUAGCUAACUUAUAAAAACAAAAGUAUACAAUAAUCCUCACAUCUACAAUCUACAAGCCCCUAAAUCAUAAAGACUGAUAAUCUAUUUGACUACUCCAACAUAUUGUAUUAAAGCAAUUAUAAAUAUCUGGCAAUAUAAUACAAUAUAACUAACUAGUAAUUGCAAUAUAACUAACUAAUAAUAAUAUCAUAAUCAAUUAAUCAACAAUCAGACAAAUCAAAUAAUAAAUAUAUAUAGCACACAACAACCAAACACUAAAUCUAUUGCUUGUACAUCAAGAUACACCAAAACGCUUACCCACUCACAAGCUCUGUAAGCAGUUUAUACUCUCAUUAACCUAACACGAACACUUAAUACAAACUCAUUAAAAUUUUACUGUUGAAUUAAAGUCACACAAUAGUCAAAUUAAUACUUACAAUCAACAAGCUGCUCGCUGCAAAACCUAAACUAAAACAAAAACAAAAAAUAAAAUAAAAAUAAAUAAAUAAACAAAAAUAAAAAA